AGAUUCUGUGUCUCCCUCUUUUUCUGCCCCGCUCCUACUCACACUCUGUCUCUCUCUCAAAAAUAAGUAAAACAUUAAAAAAAAAUUUUUUUUAAUUUUCAGAAUGGGAAAAAAAUCCCAAGUACAUUGGGAAGAUGGGAAGGCCUUCACCUUUGUCUCCAUUCUGAGAAAGCAGAAGUACAUUCAUGUCUUCAAAUGUCAUGAUUGUUGUAAUGUGAGAAAGCCUCCAGCCAGAGCUCUAUUCCUUUUGAGAAUGAGAAUGUUUGCCCCUUAGAAAACACUCAUUAAGGCAGGGAGUGUGGCCCAGCCUUGAGCAAACUUUUGCAUUUCCCCUUGCACCAAAGGAGUCAAGUGCCCAGAAUGUGGGCAUCUGCAUUCAGAGCUCUAUUCUUGUUAGCACCAAAAGAUUCAUGCCAGAGAACAGUUGUACAAAUGCAGUAACCACCUGAAAGCUCUCAGGAAAAUUGAACCUCUUUCACACAGUCCCCACUGGAGAAAGGCAUAAGGAGUGCAGCUGGUGUUGGAUAGCCUCCUUGCCCAGAUUUAAUCAAGUUUUGCAGCAGCAAGUUACUGCAUUGUGAGUGUAGUGAGUAGGAGAGCAAAGCAGCUCCUGCUGGGUCCUGCAUAGAAAUAUUCACACUGGAGAAAGCUCCUGUGUGUACAGCUGGUAUGGGAGACUCAGCCACAGCUCCUGCCCACCAACCAGCACAAAACCUUCACUAAUGAAAAGCCAUUUUAGGAGCAGUGAAUUUAGUAAAGUCUUCAGCUGCCCCCGCCCCCCCCUUUUUUUUUUUUAACAUUUUCUUUUAAAUGAUGUUUUAAAAACUUCAUUCAAUAUAAAAGAAUUAACACCUGAAAAAUACCGUAUACAAAUAGCCUUCAGCCACAAGUUGUACCUUGUAUAGAAGUUAUUUUUUUUUUAAUUUUUAACGCUUAUUUAUUUCUGAGAGAGGGGAGGGGCAGAGAGAGAGGGAGACAGAGGAUCCAAAGCAGACUCUGCGCUGUGAGCACAGAGCCUGAUGUGGGGCUCGAGCCCACAACCAUGAGAUCAUGACCUGAGCUGAAAUCAAGAGUCGGCUGUUCAACCGACUGAUCCACCUGGCGCCCCAGAACUUCUACCUGAAGAGAUAACUCCACCAAUGCCCUGUAGGGGCCCCUAUAGGGGCCAUACUGUACUUUGUGACCAGCUGUCACACCGCUGGGUGCUAUGGAAAAUGUCCUUCUCUGUUUGAUGGUCAUCUAUUACUCAGUGUAAGCAGCCCCUGUUCCCUGCUUGCCCUCCUCUGGAGGGAUGGUGGUGGCCCUGCACCCAUUGAAGUGAUGUCCUACUGCUCACCCAUGACUGAGUUUGGCACGGACAUGACUCUUACUCUGAGCAAGGGGCCUGAUAAGAUAGUUCCUGGAGGGCUUCUAGGGAAGUUUUCCCAUUGUUUAUGGACCUUGUGAAAUCUGCCUUUGACAUCCAUGAUGUCUUCAUUGAGUUUCUCCAGGUACUCAUAACAUCGUUUAUAUGUGUUGCUAUCAUUACCCAGCUCUGGUACCAUGACUUCAGACUGCUCUGCACCAUUUGAUACUGAAUACAUCACCAAUUAAUUCACCUUUGAUAUUGGAGUCCUGUUUAUCGGGAGUGAAUUGGAAACAGAACAGAGUUCUCAGACUGGUUAUCAGGUUCCCUAUAGCACCUGACAGGGCACAACAGUAAGGCAUGGAGCAUUUCUGACCAGAUGUGACCCAAUUUGCAUUUCUACCCCAUGUUCUCUGACAAAGAAUGAAAGCCUCUGUGUUCUGAAGCUUCUCACCUGGAGUUCGCCUGGAAAAGCCAGUCAACAGUCUGGAAGAAGCAAGAUAAUGGUCUGUGUUUUAGGAAAUGUCUCUUCCACCCAGCAGUGGUGAAAGGAAGCACUCUGAAGGCCAGACCCUGUUCACAGGCUGACUGUUGACUGGAUGUCUCCAAGCUGAAUUCCUCGGCAUAACUUAGACCUGCAUGUCCAGCUGCCCCUUCAGUACCUCCACCUGGAAGUCUGCAAGGCAUUGCCAAGGUCAAAAUCUGCCUCUUGAUCUUCCCUGAAACCUGCUUCGCCCAGCAACCUCCCCAUCUCAGUCGAUGCCCUUCAAUUCCAUCUUCUCAUAGCUGAGGCCAAACUCCAUGGUGAUAUCCCUGGAUAUCCACAUCAUAAAAUCUGGCUGACUUGAAAGAUCCAAAUCCAGCCACUUCUCCCAACUCCAGUCACCACUCAAGCCAAGACACCAUCACUCACCUGAUCCAGUAAAGGUGCAUCCUUAUGGGCCUCCCUUUCUGCCUCCUCACCUUCACUCCCUACCCCACGUCUGUUUUUCACUCUGCAGCCAAAGGGAGCCUAUGAACACCUGAGUCAUAUCACCUUCCUCCUCUACUCCAAACCUUCCAUGACUCACACCACCCUCAGAUUACAGACCAAGCUGCUCAGGCUACCGUGUCAGGCCUGAGUCUUGUCCACCAGACACGAAGGAAACCUUUCACAUCCUGGUCCCUAACCCUGAGACAGCUUUCCACACCUUGUCCCAUUGGAUUCCAGAAUUAUGAAACUUUCCACAUAACCCCUGGCCAGGACUCAGGACCUCGGGCUUGGGGUAAUCCUAGGGUCCUAGCAGCAAAGGAAGAAAGGCGAAGGCGGAGGAGAAGAGUCCAAGGACCCCCCACUCCCCUCGAUCGUGGGCCCGUACUAUGCGGAUGCUGGUCCGGGUCCCCCAGCGCCGCCGCUGCCGCCAUUGGACCCGGGCAGGCCCUGAGAGGUUGGCCGAUCCCCACACCUCCACUGGGCCAGGUGCCCGCACGCCGCCCGUCGCAAUCGGAGCCUCAGAGGGGACGAAACGCGGCAGCCGAUCCCAUCUUCCUUACUGUCUUCCACGCUGGGUCCCGAGGAGGCGCCUGGAAAGCAGCCCCCGCCCAGAGCUCAGGUCCCCAAGGGCGCUAUAUAACGACCUGUCAAGAGCAAAAUGAACGCCCACAACCGAGGCGCCGGAAGUCCCGUGAGCCGCAGGAAGUCGCUCUUCUUCUGUGAUUGGCCCAUAGCUCGCCGCCAUUCCCCUUGGCCUUCUGGUUAGUGUAGUUUCAGCCUCGCAUUGGCCUGGAGUGGGGCGCGGACAAAUUCUCCGUGGGCAACGCCCAAGUGGCAGCGGAGGGGCACUGGAAAAUGGAAUCCGAGAUUAAGAAUGGUAAUGGUGUGUCAUAGUUUCCUCUUAAAGAGGUCAUUCUCGAUUUCCUCCCUCAGAGAUGUCCCGCCCGUGACCUGCAUUCUGAACAUGGAGGGACCAGCACUGUGAAGGGGCCCCUGGGAACACCUCUUCUGCAUUUUCUGAGGAUGUAAAAUGAAGAUAAUACCUCCUUCAUGGAGAGUUUUAGUAACAUUAAAUGUGUCUUUAAUUCAGUGGUCCCCAGAUCAGUAGCAUCAGCAUCACUGGGGAACUUGCUAGAAAUGAAAGUUCUUGUCCCUUCUCCAAACCCUCAUCAGAAAUUCUGGGACAAGCCUAAACAUUCUGUGCUUUGACAAUCCCUCUUGGGUAUCCUCACCCAGAAUAAGCUCUAACUCAAAAUCCAGUGGUGAAAGUUGGAAAAUACUACAACUUUCCUCAUGAGAAGUGACAUGAAAAGUGCUUAGCACAGGGCCAGGUACAUGGUGCUGUGACACUUAGUAAAGGGAAACCUCACUAAAAUGGAGUGCAAGGGAAAGCUCUCACUUGGUACCACUGGAAGUCAAGAAUUGCCGACAGAAGAAUCUUCAACAGGAAAGAAUCAUCAAUUCCAGGCCCCAACAAGUAAAGAUGUACAUUGGAUCUCCUAGUAGAAAUCAACUGCCCCUGCAACUCAACCAAUGAGAAACUGUCAUCACCCUGAAUUCUUUUCUCCAAUGGACUUUCUUUCAAAACAGCCCCUCCCACCUUCCUCCUUCCUCUUAUAGAAUAACAUUCCACUCCUUUGUUAGACUUGCCUAAUGUUUUGCUGUAGCUUGCAUGUUCAGAAUUGCAAUUCUCUGCUAAUCCCAAAUAAACCCAUUUUUGCUGGCAAA